ensembl:lncRNA
GGGAACUUUUGCAUGCGGUAGGUGUGGCCGAAAAACAAACAAACAAACAAAAAACACAACCAAACCAACCCCCAAAGCAAGAGCUUUGCAGCUGGACAGAAGUUCAGAUCUCGGCUUUGACCCUUAACACACAGGUGCCUUGCAAGUUCUUUCACAUCCUGAGCCUCCGGGUUUUGUCUCUGAAGAUUGAGAUGUUACUGCCUCUUUUUACUGGAUCGUCCUGAGGAUUGGAAAUGGGGAAAGACCUGUAGUUGGUCAUGGGUGCUCAAAAAGUUGCUGUUUUUGCCUGUCUGUCUUUGUAGGGCUGCAUCCACGGCAUAUGGAUGCUUCCAGGCUAGGGAUCAAAUAGGAGCUAUAGCCACUGGCCUACACCACAGCCACAGUGGCUCAGGAUCCGAGCCGCACCUCUGCAACCUACACCACAGCUCACGGCCACACCAGAUCCUUAACCCACUGAGCGAGGCCAGGGAUCGUACCUGUGUCCUCGUGGAUGCUAGUCGGAUUUGUUUCCACUGAGCCACGACAGGAAGUCCAGGGGAGAGUGGAUUUUCAGGGACAGGUACUUUGGUCAUAAGUCGUUGAGGUUGCUUGUGUGAGGGGGUUGAUUUCUCCACCAUCUUACUUGACUUCCCAUGAAUGAUCCUUCCAGAAAGCACAGGGUGUGUGUCCAUAAGUACCCCAUUUUUACAGAUAAAAGUUGGACUUGCUUUGUCCCUGGUUAUCAGCCUGUUCCUCUCAGAUGUGUUAAAGCCAAAGGUUUUGUCUUUUCAGCUUUUUUCGAACUCUUCAAAGUCUAAAGGAGCUUGGAAGAUGGGGCUCAACAUGGUGGAGGGUGAGGGCUUUUCCAGGCUAUUUCCUUCCUUCCCCUAGGUGGUGGCAGGAGCAGCCCCUAUGACCUUGGCUGUGGCAGUGGACGCUGGCUUGCACGUCCUCCUGCCUGCAAGUUGCUGCAGUGAGUCAGGGGCUCCUGAGCAUGGAGUCUGCUCUGGAGGCCGCUGUCCCUGGAGCCCUUGUGCUGCAGGUUUGUGGGAAAGUGCUUGGAAGAUGUCUGGGCAGCUGGCGGUGACCUUGACCCCCACGGGCCAUGCUUCUCCAGCAUUCCCACCCGCUGCUCUGGACAGAAGCUGGGCUGACAGCCCUAGCCUGCAGCAGCCCACCCCAACCGUGACCCUGCUUUGAAGCUUCAAGUUUUGUUUUUAAGGCUAGCAUUAAUUUUACAUCCUAUUCCAUGAUAAUCCAUGUUUAUUUUGUUAUGAGGAAUAUUUCUCCUUUACUUUUGAGUCAGAUGGAUGCCCUGGGAAGAUGUUUAUGUUUUUUUCUGUGGCUUCCGCUUCUCCCAGCCCAGUGUCUCCAACUACAGUUCAAAAAACAUGGAUUAAGGCAAAAUCAUGAUUAGAUUAGACAUAAUUGUGACAAAAAAUGCCUGGCUUCCUAGAAGCCCUUUUAUCCUAUGUGAUUUGUUGGUUGGGUAAUUGAAACUUUGGCUUAGGUGGAUAAUUAUUAAAAUGCUACACCUUGGAGUUCCCAUGUGGCUUAGCAGGUUAUGAACCGGACUAGUGCCCAUGAGGAUAUGGGUUUGAUCCCUGGUCUCACUCUGUGGGUUAAGGAUCUGGCAUUGCCACGAGCUGUGGUGUAGGC